rnacentral:misc_RNA from 1 species
UUAGGUGCCGCACUUCCACUUGCUUCGGAUAUUCCCAAGAGCAACCCAGUAGUUAAACACUCCCUGUUAAUCUGGGGCCAAUUUAGGAAAAGUUUUGGACUACAGCUUUUUUCACUUAAAAGCCCAAUUGCUGCUAACCAUCUAUUUGCUCCUUCAAUGGCUGAUGGCGCAUUCAAUAUUUGGCACAGAAAAGGUUUGAGAUGCUUUGAAGAUCUAUACAUUGAUAAUUGUUUUGCGAGCUUUUCUCAACUAACAGA